UGGGGAAUUUUGGACAAUGGGGGCAACCCUGAUCCAGCCAUCCCGCGUGUGCGAUGAAGGCCUUCGGGUUGUAAAGCCCUUUUGUUGGGGAAGAAAUCCUGCUGGCUAAUACCCGGCGGGGAUGACGGUACCCAAAGAAUAAGCACCGGCUAACUUCGUGCCAGCAGCCGCGGUAAUACGAAGGGUGCAAGCGUUACUCGGAAUUACUGGGCGUAAAGCGUGCGUAGGUGGUUCGUUAAGUCUGAUGUGAAAGCCCCGGGCUCAACCCGGGAAUUGCAUUGGAUACUGGCGGGCUAGAGUACGGUAGAGGGUGGCGGAAUUCCUGGUGUAGCAGUGAAAUGCGUAGAGAUCAGGAGGAACAUCCGUGGCGAAGGCGGCCACCUUGGACCAGUACUGACACUGAGGCACGAAAGCGUGGGGAGCAAACA
rnacentral:rRNA from 1 species